AUGGAAGGAAGUGACAAGGCAGAGGAGGCGAUGGAGAGAUAAAGGAAGCAGAGCCAUGUGAGAGUCUGCAUUGAAAAACAAGAGAGGGAAUGAAGACAGAAGUUUAGCAGGAGUUACGGGAGCAAGAAGUGAUUGGACCAUGCAGCAACUCAGGGAUGGAAAAUUACAGGGUCAGCAGUCGGCACAACGGCAGCCCAUUUUCUGAAGCAGACGAUUAAUGUCCAAUUCAACAUAGAACGAUGUUGCAGGGCAAUGUGUGGAUGAUGUGAAGCAAGGCAGAGAGCAAAGGUGAGAAAGUCGGGUGGUGGAAGGAAUUUAAAGCUAUGAAAAAAAUCAACUUAAAUUGCUUCCAUGCAGCUGUGUAAAAGAAAAAAAAAAGUGGGUCAUCUGUCUUCCACUGUGACUAGUGAAAAAAGGGUUUUUGUACAUUGACAGACUUAAUAAACUGGAAAAUUUAAACUGAGUUAAUUGUUUUUCAAGCUGACAAUCUGAUUAACCAUUAGUUAAACUGCUAAUUAGUAUUACUGAAUAAUUUGCAAGCCCACCCUUCCUCCUGGUGAAAAAAGUGAAAUGUAUUACCUGAGCAGGAGUUUGAAGGGGAGAGAAUUACUUCACCUGCAACGAAAGCUUGAAAGCAAAAACCAAUCAAGGCUUUAAAAAGGAUGUUUAAUUUUCUUUCAAUUCCAUUACUGAAAGAGAAAAUGAAACUGACUCAUUUUCUGUGCGUGUUUUGAUACUAAGUACUUUGAAAUUAAAUGCCUUUAUUUUCAUAUGUAUUUGGACAGGAAGGGCACCAGCACCACAGGGUCUCUCUGUGUCCCCCAGUGUGACCAAACUCAGUGCUUUUUGGGUCCGUUUAGCAUGCUUCUCACCAACUCCAUACCAAAUCCUCUUUUUUUUUCUUUUUUUUUUUUAUAAACCCCCUGCAAUCUCUUGCUCUAGGCAUUAUUCCUGAUCACAGAACUCUGAC